ensembl:lncRNA
UGGGCAGAUAGAGAAGAAGAAGAGGUGGCCAGACAAAGGGAGAAGAAGAAGAGAUGGGCAGAUAGAGAAGAAGAAGAGGUGGGCAGAUAGAGAAGAAGAAGAAGAGGUGGGCAGAUAGAGAAGAAGAAGAGAUGGCCAGACAAAGGGAGAAGAAGAAGAGAUGGGCAGAUAGAGAAGAAGAAGAGGUGGGCAGAUAGAGAAGAAGAAGAGAUGGGCAGAUAGAGAAGAAGAAGAGACGGGCAGAUAGAGAAGAAGAAGAGAUGGCCAGACAAAGGGAGCAGAAGAAGAGGUGGGCAGAUAGA